UUUUUUAGUUCAACUUUCUUUUAUUAAGAAUGAAAAUGCAUCUAGAUAUUUUUGCUUCACAUCUGGUUAUUGAAUUCAUUGGAGAAUGAAUGCUGUCCUAAAUUUGACGAUCUACUCAUGGAGCAUAAAGAUGGCAGAUUUCACUCCAAUAUUCAUCAAACGUUAUGUGGCCUCAUUGUACUUCAAGGGUAAAUACUGCAUCUCUUUAAAUGCCUUUGGUGAUGCCCAAUCCUGCUUGGGCAACCCAGGAAAAUUUAAGGAAAUUUUAA
rnacentral:lncRNA from 1 species